rnacentral:misc_RNA from 1 species
UCGUGGAGCCCACCCGGCUUCGUCGAGAUAGACCCUUGCCUUUUUCGAGCACCGCCCGUUUCCUCGGCAGGUCCGCCUGCCAACGGGGACACAACCAAACCCUUUCUGUACCUGUAAAGCGUCUGAACAAACACAAAAUAAUCA